rnacentral:rRNA from 1 species
CCUACGGGCGGCAGCAGUGGGGAAUAUUGCACAAUGGGGGAAACCCUGAUGCAGCAACGCCGCGUGAGGGAAGAAGGUUUUCGGAUUGUAAAGCUCUGUCAGCAGGGAAGAGGAAGGACGGUACUGGCAGAGGAAGCCACGGCUAACCACGUGCCAGCAGCCGCGGUAAUACGGAGGGGGCAAGCGUUGUUCGGAAUAACUGGGCGUAAAGGAAGCGUAGGCGGUUAAGCAAGUUAUAUGUUAAAUAUAUAGGCUUAACCAGUAGAAAGCAUCUAAAACUGGUUAGCUAGAGUGCAGGAGAGGUAAGUGGAAUUCCUAGUGUAGCGGUGAAAUGCGUAGAGAUUAGGAAGAACACCAGUGGCGAAGGCGACUUACUGGACUGUAACUGACGCUGAGGCAUGAGAGCAUGGGGAGCAAACAGGAUUAGAUACCCGUGUAGUC